rnacentral:rRNA from 1 species
UACAGAGGUGCCGAGCGUUAGGCGGAAUCACUGGGCUUAAAGCGCGUGUAGGCGGGUCGUUAAGUGUCCGUGUGAAAUCCCACAGCUCAACUGUGGAACUGCCGGGCAUACUGGCGAUCUUGAGGCACCCAGGGGCGAGCGGAACAAAUGGUGGAGCGGUGAAAUGCGUAGAUAUCAUUUGGAACGCCAAUGGUGAAAACAGCUCGCUGGGGGUGUCCUGACGCUGAGACGCGAAAGCCAGGGGAGCAAACGGG